UGACAUUUUUCCAAAGAACAGUGCUUGAAAUGACCUCCAAGUAUGUUUUCUUAUUUUAACUUUUUGGAUUAGAAUAACAACUUUUAAAUAUUGAUCGCUUUAUUUAUGGAUUAUGUCGACUUUAAUGAUGCGAAAGGACUUCCGAUUUUUCUUAAUGUCUUAAUUUUUUAUAUUGUGUUUGUUAGUCAGGUCAUUGUUAAUGGUUAAUAGUAAAUGGACUAUGUUUAUAUAGCAUAUUCUCCAGUUCUUUGACUGACUCAAAGCAUGCUUACAUUACACAUCACAUUCACCCAUUCACACCACAUUCACAGACUGAUGGCAGGGGCUGCUUUGUAAAGAGCUCAUCAGCUAGACUUAUUCACAUGGUCUCGUGGCCUUAAACAACUUUCCACACUGUGGAAAAAUAAAGUUCAUUCAUUCAUUCAUUCAUUCAUUCAUUCAUCUAUUGAGACUAUGUUAUGUGUUCAUCAGUAUAAUCAAUCCCAUUCACAUUAUAUUCACAUACCCCUAAUACAAUUUGAGGUUCAGUGCAUCUGGCCUAUAGGGGUAGGAGGUUUUUGAGAAACUUUACCUCUGAUCUACUGCUACUCUUAGGUAUAUCACUGAGUCUUGAGAGUAUUGAUUGAUUGAUUGAUUGAUUGAUUGGUUUGUUUGUAUAUUUAUUCCUUAUGCCUUAAAUAAAUUGUCAGUCUAAAAGUUGCUUUUGAGCUCUAACUCAGUGAUUACGCCGUACGUCUUUAAGACUAACACUAGAUGUCACUGUAUGACUUAAAAAGAUUCCUAACAGACCUGAGUCUGCCUGCACAUCUGAGCUUUGAGAUUCAUAAUACUUAUUUUGAUUUUCAGGACAGGACACAUAAGCUAAACUAAGAGAAAAGAGAAAAAAAUAAACUGAGAUCAUUUUUUUAAGUAUACCAAAAUUUAUACUCAAUAUAUAUGAAAAAAAAAAAUGCAUACAUGAUUUUCCAGCUGGACAGUUACUUAAGAAAGAUAAGUGACACAUGUCUCUAGAGUGUUGGCUAGGGUCAUCAGAGUCUUGUCUGCAUCAUAUCCUCCUAACACUAAAGCAAAGCGAGUGUUUUGUACAUGAAAUAAUGUGUGUGUGUGUGUGUGUGUGUGUGUGUGUGUGUGUGUGUGUGUGUGUGUGUGUGUGUGUGUGUGUGUUUGUGUUUUUGUCUUAUCCAAGUCUGGAGGGACAAAUUAGAAUGAGGAACUCAUGGCCAGUCAGCGUCUGAUUCAGAUCCCGGUGGUUCCUCAAAAGACAUCUGGGUUGAUCAUCUCCUGAUGUCUCAUACUUCACCUAUUUUCCUUAUCGCUUCCAGUAGUUUCUAUGACUUAUGGUGUGCUGAGUUUAAAAGCUGCUCAUCAGUUUGGAAAAACACUUGAGAUAAGGUUGAUUUUGUAUGAUAUAUGAAAUUUUCUUGAAUAUAUAAACUUGAGUCCUUUCUUUGUAGUAUGAGAAAUGUUGUACUUAGAUUCAGACAGCCUGCUCAGUUUGAAUGCGUGUGGCAGGAUGACACAAGUAACAUGGUCAGUGAAAAGAAGGGAUCUCUCUGCCUGCUUCUCUCUUUCUCCCUCUGUCCCACUUUUUUGAUAUCUCCUUUUCCCCAGGCUCCUUGUCUUCCUCGAUUCAUGCAUAUGGCAGACUUUGUGACCGUAAUUUCAAUUUAAAACACAUGAGGGGAAAUCCUAGCCCGCGCUGCUCUUUAAUGGGCCGUCAUGGGAUUGGAGUAUGCAGAGAAUGAUUGAAUUUUGUGAGAAGGCCAGGAACGAUCAAGUCUCGCCUUCCGUUAUGCAAUCGACCAUUCCCCUCUCACAACGCGACGUCUGGUAAAACCUUGAGGAGCAGGAGGGGGGCUCGGGGCUGGAAACCUCAACGUCUAGACCAAACUAGAGAAAAAUAUUUUUUCUUCUAAAUGACUCACGGCUAUAUAAAAAGAGAAACUCAGCUAUCAUAUAAAAACUGAGGCAAAUGAGAAGUGAUCUGCCACAUCAAACGGAGAUAUGGUGAAUUGGUCUGCUUUUAAUGGUUGUAAAUGAGUCUUUUUACACUGUAAUGCAUGACAUCCUAUAUUUCCUCACAGACGGAAACAUAUGGAUCCCAUACAAAGCCUGCCAUACUGUUUUAUUUAUAUGAUUGUGUCAUGUCUGUUUUUGCCCUUGAGUAUCUCCACCUGCUCAGCCCACUUUGACAACGUCAAGAUAAAAACUUUUACAAUCUGCUUACUCCACUGCCCUGAAAUUACCACUUUCUGAAAACUUUUUUGCACCCGCUGUGUUGGAUAACACCGCUGUGAUAUAUCGUUUCAAUGAAGCAACAGAGACUACCUUUCCCGUUAUGUCCAUUAUAUUCAAAUGGCCCGGGCCCUUUUGUUUUUUCUUCUUCACAACAAGACAUAAAGUAAUCAAAAGUUAAAAGCAAACACUCAAGGAGGCACUUAGCAAAAAAGAAAAGCUUUUAUGAUAAAACAUUCAUAUACCGUGCAGGAGACAGGUAAUCUUUGAGGAUGAUAGGGUUGUCUUGUGGUCAGUUUCAGUAUAGUAUGGCUUGGGGAGCCUUGUAGAUGAACGCUCCUAAUAACAUCCCCGCCCACCCAUCAUCCAGCCGAGCGUCCAGGCAAAACAACUAAUACCUGAGUGUAUUUCUUCAGUGGUGUGAAGUAGGCCUUAAAGAGCUGUUGGAGGCUGCAGUAAAGUAGGGUUCAUUACCUUGACAGACUGAUGACAGCUCAGAUGGGCUGAGAUAUGCACACACUCGCACAUAAAUACUGAAUUAAAGGCUAAAUAAUUUGCUUUCAAAGCUCCUUCCUCUUUACACAAACAGAGGGAUCUUUUCUUUAAAAACUCCGAGCUACAGUCAGAGGAGAGGAGACAUCAGUGGGAUCUGGAUCUCCUGGAGCAACGUUACUUUAUUCUAAAUUCUCCAUUUGAAAGUCAUUUGCUGGAGGCAACUAAAUCAAUAUUUGAUAAACAUGAUGCAGAGGCAGAUAAUUCUGAUCUUGAGAAGUUUGGUGGGAAAAGGUCUUAAAAGAACAGAAGUGGGAGAUGGAUGGCUUAUUGCUGGGCGUAGGAUGAGAAGAAUGAAACCUGUCUGCAAGGUCACAGCCAGCCACUUAGCUUAGCUUAGCUUAGCUAAGCUUAAAAUUCAAAGAAAAGAAAAAAAAGGCCUGAAGAACAACUUUUUUCUAAAGAAAUAGAGAAAAAUCAUACCAUUAAUACCCAAGUUAAAAGAAACAACUUUGAAUCAGUUGAAAACAUCCUAGUUUAUCUAAUGAAUGUCUAUCACCUGGCUCCGCCAAGGUUGGCUAGUUUUGCUGGGAGUAUCCUAUUUACCUUAGAGCAGUGAAUCUUCAUCUUUUGGUAGGGAAGCAAAAACUGUCUGUGCCAGAUUAUCAUGUUGUUCAAAGAGUCAGUGAAACUGUCCAAAAGAGUUGAAUUUUACCUUCAGACACACAGAUCAGUCUCUUUGGUAACAAUGAAGACAAGAGCUUUUAUAUUAGCUCCAAAUGGCAAGUGGCAACUUCCUGAGCUAAAAAACUUCUAUAACUACUGCAAGAGUGCAAAAAACUGCUGUUCCUCAAGAGUCCAUGAAAGGUUCACAGCAAAAGAUGAGUAUUAAAUAAGAUACUUAUAGAAGUGUUGAAGAGUUUGCAACAGCUGAGUUGACUGACUGUGCAUUAAAGCUGUGUUAAAGCUGAGUCGUUUUUACUAUGGAGGGCAAAGGAGCAAUUUAUAAUGUCUAUAUUAUCAGUUUUUAAUAUUCAAUUCUCAGUACAGUUUUUUGUCAGGCAAGGAGUUGGGCUGCUGAAAAAAAAACCCUAUUAAUGACAGAACUCAGAAAAGAAACCUGCUUGAGUAGCUGGUUAUAUACAGUUUUGGAGGUGAUCUUUGCAGGAGAAACUGAGAGUUAAAGAGCUUAAACCUGUUCAGAAAGAGAAUAACAGGAUCCCAACAAUAGAGGGAAAAUGAGGUUUAAUCAUUGUAAGGAGCUGGAUAGUUCAUCACGCGACUUAGCUAGUAAUACUGGCUUCACCUGCCUCUUUUUUCAAACAUCAGGAUCAGACCCAGCAUGGAUUCAGAUAUGUAGGACCAGUUUUAAGGUACUUAUAAUAUAUGUCUAUAAAGGACAUUAAGCUAAAUAAACAAGGUUCCACAGAUAAUAUACAUUCACUCAACUUUACAUUUACAAAUAAUGGUUUUUAUUUCAUUUAGUACACUGUACACUUUACACCUUACAUAGAAUAUGUGUUUGUUAUACAACCAGUGUGGAAUAUAACAAACGUCACUCUCAGCUGAUCUGUCUCACAGCCCUUAAACCCCUCAGUGCCUAAGCCACCUCUAGAUAAGACAUAUUUCUUUGCCCAGGUGUUGAUCAAGUCAAACCUAGAGAUCUUCACAGGUGCUUUGCCUCUCAGAUCACUGAGUCAUUUUCAUCCAACUUCUGGUAAGAAAGCAAAUAAUGAAAACUAUCACAGUCUUAGGCAACAACUUUGGUAAAAUAUAGUUAUUUGUCUUGUUAAAAAAAAAAAGACAUUUAAAAACCACAAGGAAUUUAGUGGUUAGACACUUUUGAUUACAAUUCCUCAUUCUUGUUUGACUAAUCAUAACAAACCAAGUUUGAAUGAGGGGAAUGACUAAAGCAGAAAACUCUCACUCCUUCAUGUCGGGAAGUCGGUUCUGAUAGGUUUACACGGGGUCAGAUUAAGGUCAUACUGGGCAUCCAUUAGUGGCCUUAUUUAGAGUCUGAUUCUUUUAAGAGGAGUGAUUGGCCAGCGAAGACAAAGAAUCAUUACCUUUGCCCGCCCCCUCCCUGCCAGCAGUCAAUAAUGAGGGAUCAUUAAAAUGAAUAGAUGGACAUUCCCCUUUUCUCCGGAUCCUUAUUGCAAAAUCAGUGUCAGGGGAAAUGAAGAUUGAGCUUGGAGAAGGCGUCUAAAAGCCUCACAGUGAUUGUCGUGAACUCAUCUCCAGUGCCAGGCUCCUUUAUCUACUGUAAGAGUCUGCACCUGCCUGAACUCUUGACUAGCAAGGGCUUUUACUGUAGCCCAUUAAGAGCAUCCCUAAUGUGUGCUACAAUGUACUUCAACGUAAACAUUCUGCAUAUGUCCUGAUACAUUUACAGCAAACAAUAGAAGAGGGAUAGCUCGGGAUGUCUCUGAGUUUUAGUUUCUUUUUGUCAAUGAAGAACUGGAGCUCUCGCAGUGACUUUGAAAAGGCUUUUCAAUGCACAAUGACUUUGAAGUACGCGAUCGUACAAACAGACCCUUAAAGAUAAUUCUCACUUUUCACAUUUCUUAAGCACAAACAUCUGCCGCUGCCACCAACAUUUUUAUAAAACCUUGCACAACAUUUCACGCGUCACAAAAGAGAGAGCAAAUCAAGCUGAAUGAUUGCAGAUGGAGAAUAAAAGACGGCUCAAGAUUUUCCAGGACACAUGUGGUUGCCUUUCUGAGUGACUCUUAAAGUGUCUUUUAAAAAGGUGAUUUAUCUGUUGGUGCACAACCAUGAGACCAUGUCAGCAUGUCAGCGGGUCAUCUGCUGGUCCUGUCACAUUUGAAAUGACCUCAUGAAAGGGGGCUGUGUACACCUGCAAAGCCCCCCCACCAAACCCCACCCUAAACAGAUAAAGAAAACACAUGUAAACACAUGCUAAAGCGCAGACACACAUAUGGUCUUCAUCGUAUUUCUUUAUCUUCUUUAAGGUAAUUGACAAAACGGUCUGUUUAUAGUCAGCUGACGUGUGUCUAAGAAGAAAAGAGCAAUUGGAGACUCAGGGGGACAAAAAAGAAAAGGUCAAAUGUAGAUCUGUCUUAUGGGACAAAACUAUCAAAGGACUCUAAGAAUGGUCAAGUAAUUAUCUCUUAAAGCGUCUCUUAAAGCCACCCCCAUGGUUCUCUCAACAUGCCCUUCAUAACAGAGGCAUAUUGAGGAUUUACUGCCUGCAGAUGGCCAGUAAGAGAACAGGGCAGCAGCUCCAGCACUGUGCCUAUGCACUCACUUUAUAAAAGCUCGAAUCAAGGGCUCUGUGGGAAUAGGAUGGAGGAGGAAGCAGAACCAUAAAGACACUAUAAAAGCCCACAAUGAAACUUCUAAGUCGUGCCCUCUGCCAGGUGCCGUGUGCAGCUGGACCCCGGGGAGAAAAUGGCACGUGCUGCUGUCGCAAUGAUCAGAAGUUCUGGUUUUUGCUUGUAUGUGGGAUUGUCGUCACCGCAGGAAUGAUUUGGUUUGAUUCUGCAUCAGUAAGUUAGUUCGAUAACUGUGUGUCCACUCUGAUGAUCAGCAAGACCACCUGUCAUUCAGUUUAUCAGCCAGUUCAUCUAUUUGGACAUUUGGUAAACUAAUCAGGGGAAUUUUCAGAGUAAAGCCCCCUCUAGAAACCCAUACUAAUAAUCAGCUGGCAUGUUUUUUACUUUUUCUAAUUAAUUUACAUGUCAGUUUUGAUUUCAGUGUCAAAGGUUACUGACAGUUUAAGGCGAUCAGCUCAACCUUGAUCUGGAGACUCUGUCAACCAUAAAAUCUUUAUUUAUAUUCCCAAAGCAUCUUAAAGAGAUGAUGCGCAUUGAAUUCAAACAGAAACAGAACUCAAACACAUCUGAAUCCUGUUUUCAAACUUUUAGGAACCACAAGUAGACCUAUAUACUAAAGAGGUUUGUUUGGCCAGUUGAUGAUAAAUUUAUAAAACGGUUUGUCUGUCAGGUACUGACAUUUUUUUUUACCUUUCUGGUAAGUAGACCUAUUUGAAAUCAUAGUUUAAAAAAAAUAAAAAGGGCUUGUUAUCUUGGAGGAUUUGGAUUUUAAUUGUCUUUCCCAGAUAGAGGUGAUGUAAACUUAGUAUGAUUUAAACACAGCUAACUCCUCCUAUGAGCUAGUUCAGGCAGGCAUCUCAAACAGAACUAAUUUCACACUUGACAUGCUUCAUUUCUACAAACACUUUCUAAACAUUUCUAUCAAAUUUGCAAAAUGCAAAUCUUGAGUUGGAAGAUUUUCUGGUCCCUCUCUCUGUCAUUGCCAUCACCGCCCUGCACAAACUUUCAGUCCUACCACAUCCCCAUCAUCCACCUAGUUUCAGAUUUUAUCUCAUCACUCCUUAAAUUUCUGCAAAUCUCGAAACCUGCAAAGAAGUGAUGAGAACAGACUUUAAACAGUGUUUUGCUGCUUCAACAAAUAUUCUGAUUGUCGGGUUGAUCUAACAUACUUUAUGUUUCUGCAGGAGCCCACUGUGUCCAUCAGAUUUUGCUGAUUGAUUGUUGACUGUCAGCAGAUGACAGCCAGUUUGCUUGAACUGCAGGCUACACACUACAGACACAGUAUGUUGCUAGAGCUGCUCCUGGAACUGGAAAGAAGUGAUAUUUGAAAGUAGUACAGCAUGUUAUUGAAUGUUUUUGCAUGUUUUCUUUGGAUAUAUUGAAUCUGCUGCAGCUGAGCGCUGUAUGAGUAAAGAAAUGUUGAAAUCUAAUGGCACCAUCACACGCGUGUAUUUGGUUGGCUCUCUCUCAUGGUGUUUCAUAAAGAUGUGCAAGCUAGAAGGUUGAGAAGAAUUAGAGCAAACAAAUCUUUAAGUGUGACUUUGGCUGCAGUGAUUUAGGAAGAGGAGGGGAUGGGGUGGGGAGAUUAGAUUACAUCAAUGCUUUUUGGUGUUAUACAGCUAUCUCACAAAGAUUGCACAAAAAGAAAACUCUCCUAUGAUAGCACACAGUUUACCUGCACCCAACGCGAUAAAUGACCCCUUUUACCAACAAACUAAAGCUGUGCAAGUUACUUCUAUCACCAAAUAACUGUCCUGUACACAACUUUCAGAGUAAAAACAGUGCGUUGAAACAUGGAAAUCUCUCCUUAGAGAUUAAAAAAAGGGUCUAUCCAUUUUGGAGGUACAUCCAUUGUAUGUUUAUGCUUGUGACACAGCUUAUUAAGACUUCAACUGAUAUUUUUUAGUGCUUUCUUGGCCAAGCAAGGCUUGCAAAAAAGCUAUGGAUGAGAUGUGCACAAGACCAUGCAUGUUAUAAUGAAAAUAAAGCUGCAAAUGCACAACCUGUAGGGUCCAGUCUGCUGUGGAAACCCAUGCAAAGGGUUACAAAAGUGUAGCAAACUGCACCAGCCCAA
rnacentral:lncRNA from 1 species